rnacentral:lncRNA from 1 species
UCAUGGCUCUCGGAGCAGUUCCAGUGAAGCAGGUAAAUGAAUGAAAAUAAAGAAAAUAAUGAAAAUAAGGAACAGAGUGAAGGAGGCGCAGCUUCCUGUCUGCACCACGGCAUCGGUGUCACCUCUUGCACAGUCCCAUAUGGAACUUAUGACUUGAGCCCUUCCUGCCCUGGGUGUCUGCUCACCCACCCCCUAGCUGCCUUCCCACCCAGACACAUGAGAAAAUGUCCCGUUAGCCCUUCCAGUCAUGCGAAUGAGGCCACGAUUGAUUCAAAGGCAGUGGGCAAGGAGGAGGCCGCAUGGAGCAGUCAGAAAGAACCAGCCCUUUGUGCUGCAGCAGGGUCCUUGGGGAUACUUUUGAGAGUGUUGUCAUCUAUCCAGAUGAACUGGGUGAUGCUCUUCUGCGCUGGACACUCAGCAUACGCUUCAAGCUCACUUGGUCUAACCUGGGACUUGGACCAACAUUCAACCUGGGGUGAAGCCUCACAACUGGUGGGCUGAGCUCCUGUUACUGCCCCGCUCACUGCCCCCUGUAGUAUGGCAAAUAAACUUGUUUUCUUUCUA